rnacentral:misc_RNA from 1 species
GAUGAAGAACGCAGCGAAAUGCGAUAAGUAACGUGAAUUGCAGAAUUCAGUGAAUCAUCGAAUCUUUGAACGCACCUUGCGCUCCUUGGUAUUCCGAGGAGCAUGCCUGUUUGAGUGUCAUUAAUAUAUCAACCUUCUCUUUUUUGAGUUGUUUGGAUGUGGGGGUUUGCUGGCCUCUUAAAUGAUUCAGCUCCCCUGAAAUGCAUUAGCAGAACAACCUGUUCAUUGGCGUGAUAAUUAUCUAUGCUAUUGAAUGUGAGGGCAGUUCAGCUUUCUAACCGUCCUUGGACAAUUCAUCAUUAAUGUGACCUCAAAUCAGGUAGGACUACCCGCUGAACUUAAGCAUAUCAAUAAGCGGAGGA